UAUCAGUAAGCGGAGGAAAAGAAACUAACAAGGAUUCCCCCAGUAACGGCGAGUGAAGCGGGAUAAGCCCAGCACCGAAUCUUCCGGCCAAACGGUCGGCGAGAAAUGUGGUGUAUAGGUGGCCGAUUGUCGUCGUCGCGAGCGCUCAAGUCCUCCUGAUCGUGGCCUUGCCCAGAGCGGGUGUCAGGCCCUUGGCGGCGCGAGCUUCGGCGGCUUCGAGCCUCCUUGGAGUCGGGUUGUUUGGGAAUGCAGCCCAAAGAGGGUGGUAAACUCCACCUAAGGCUAAAUACAGGCACGAGUCCGAUAGCGGACAAGUACCGUGAGGGAAAGUUGAAAAGCACUUUGAAGAGAGAGUUCAAGAGUACGUGAAACCGCAUAGAGGUAAACGGGUGGAUCCGCAGAGUCGACCCGGGGAAUUCAGCCCAGCAGCCGCGAGGCAGCCGGUGGCGAGCGAUCCGACAAGGACGCCAACGCUGGCUCGCUCUCUGGAGGCAGGGUGCACUUUCUCCGGCGUCGAGUGCCACGACCGGUUCGGCGGCGGUCAUGAGCCCGGAGGCAAGGUAGCUCGCGUCUUCGGACGCGAGUGUUUAGGCCUCCGAGGUGGACACGCUGCUGGACCGAGGACGCCGCCGCGUCCGUCGGUCUCGGGCUGUGCUGGAGCGUUCGACCGUGGACGUACUGCUUCGCAGUGCGCCGCAACCGCGCUUCGGUACGGGCCCGUCAACCGCGGGGCGCUCAGGGUCAGUGGCGAAUCGGUCGGUCCUCCACCCGACCCGUCUUGAAACACGGACCAAGGAGUCCAACAUGUGCGCGAGUCAUGGGGCUCUACGAAACCCAAAGGCGCAAUGAAAGUGAAGGCGGUCUCCGACUGCCCAGGCAGGAUCCCGUCGUCCUCGUGGCGGCGGGCGCACUGCCGGCCCGUCUCGGCCGCAUUGUCGGCGAGGCGGAGCAAGAGCGCACACGUUGGGACCCGAAAGAUGGUGAACUAUGUCUGAGCAGGACGAAGUCAGAGGAAACUCUGAUGGAGGUCCGCAGCGAUUCUGACGUGCAAAUCGAUCGUCAAACUUGGAUAUAGGGGCGAAAGACUAAUCGAACCAUCUAGUAGCUGGUUCCCUCCGAAGUUUCCCUCAGGAUAGCUGGCACUGAUAAUAAGCAGUUUUAUCCGGUAAAGCGAAUGAUUAGAGGCCUUGGGGACUAAAUGACCUCAACCUAUUCUCAAACUUUAAAUGGGUAAGAAGCGCGACUCGCUCAACUGGAGCCGCGCCUCGAAUGCCUAGUGCCAAGUGGGCCACUUUUG
rnacentral:rRNA from 1 species